rnacentral:rRNA from 1 species
ACGACUCCCGGCAACG